rnacentral:rRNA from 1 species
UACGUAGGGUGCAAGCGUUAAUCGGAAUUACUGGGCGUAAAGCGUGCGCAGGCGGUUAUGCAAGACAGAUGUGAAAUCCCCGGGCUUAACCUGGGAACCGCAUUUGUGACUGCAUAGCUGGAGUACGGCAGAGGGGGAUGGAAUUCCGCGUGUAGCAGUGAAAUGCGUAGAUGUGCGGAGGAACACCGAUGGCGAAGGCAGUCCCCUGGGCCUGUACUGACGCUCAUGCACGAAAGCGUGGGGAGCAAACAGG